CUUUCUUUGCUGGCGACCGGCGCACGGGUGAGUAACACGUAUCCAACCUGCCCUUUACUCGGGGACAGCCUUUCGAAAGAAAGAUUAAUACCCGAUAGUAUAAUGAUUCCGCAUGGUUUCAUUAUUAAAGGAUUCCGGUAAAGGAUGGGGAUGCGUUCCAUUAGGUUGUUGGUGAGGUAACGGCUCACCAAGCCUUCGAUGGAUAGGGGUUCUGAGAGGAAGGUCCCCCACAUUGGAACUGAGACACGGUCCAA
rnacentral:rRNA from 1 species